GACGCAGUCGGUAAGGCGCUGAGCUGAAAAGUGGUCAAAGAGUAAUACAAGUGACAAAUAAGUGUUCGGUUCGCUUCAGUUUAUCCUUUGUUUCAAGACUCUGAAGUUAUUUCGGUUUAAAAUACUUAUUUUUGUGUUGUUUUACGAUAUUGAAUUCUUCGCCAGUUCUUGUGCUCAUCAAAGGGAAACGAAAAAGUGACACUCUCUUGAAAAGAUUUGUAUUUCUUCCAUCUCUGCUUAGAAUAUUUUUCGCACUGACAAGACAAUGAACCAGUUAAGACAAAUCAUAUAAGUAUGAGAAUGACAGACAAAAACUGUUAAUAGUUAAGGGUGUAGGGUUGAGUGUCAAAAGUGCUGACAGACAGUCGCUGUUUGAUUGCGGACAAAUUUGUGCGUCAUUACGGGUCUUGGAAGAUUAUUAUCCAUAUGGUCUUUCCUGCUGUUCAGAGUCCCAACUUACAGAUAAGCAGUCUGUGUUGUGUCUUGUGUACUUACGGUGACGGAUUUUGUUACUGUUUUACAAAAUCAGCCGCAAUGGAUGCCGUGUACCCAGAGCCAUUGUCCCGGUUACACCGUCGGCCUGUUCGGAAACAGAUGCACAGGGGCUCCGGGGGGCGCUACCGCACCCAGCCCGUCACAUUCGCCGAAAUCAAGGAAGUGGACGAAGAGAACAUCGAAGAAAGCCCCACUAACCAGGCGACUGCAGGAGCAGCGAGUAAAUCUGAGCUGGACAUCAAUUCCAAGUUCGAGGAAUUCUGGAGGGCGGGUCGGGAGAAGGCUAAAGAGAAGAAGCAAAGGCGUGCCAAAGAGACGCGUAAAUCUGAGUCUGAGUCCGGCAACGUCCCGACGCCAACCCCGACGAGCACCAUCAUCACCCCCACCAUUACAACGACCCCACCUCACAGCACCAAUAAGUCAAGACCGUCAUUAUGAGGUGCUAUCAAAAUGAAAGACACUUUGAACGAGACGAGUAGCGCCUUCUUAACAAGAGAUACAUGUCUAGUUUCGUAGUUCAGCAGCAAAAUGUGAUAUCUGUAUACGGUACAAUAAUCGUUUAAUAACUAAAGUUACUGAAAUGCUUACUUACUUACUUAAGUACUCUUGCCUCUACGAUCUUCCGAGGACCUUGGCCCAGUCUCUCAUGUGGCAUCCAUUACUAGGUUUCCUAAUAUAUUUUUUACGACGUGAAAUUGUUGGUCUCAUGUCCAACUUUCAACCUGGAAGAAACGGGCCUACAUUUUUUUUACCCCUAAACUUCAAACUGUAGAAGUAUAUGAUGGGUGGCCCUACCAACAGCUUAAGUUCCCGCUAGCAUAGCUCUCCUCAUGCUAAGCGUGGCCCUACCAACAGCUUAAGUUCCCGCUAGCAUAGCUCUCCUCAUGCUAAGCGUAUGUAAACCGCCCCAUCACAUUAAGGUGAAGAAAUACCAGCAAUAGUUAAAAUGUAAUAGUACUUCAGAUAGCUAUAUCUGCUAACAGUAGUCUCUGUCAUCUAUCUUAGUUUUCAUGAAAAAUGCUUAUUUACAUGAGCAUUCUGAAAUUUGUUUUUAGUUCAUUUUUUCCGGUAUUGGACGUAAUGAUUGGAUUGCGAGCGCGCGAAGCAGAGCAUCUAAUAAAAUAAAUAUUUGUGUUGGCUUUGAAAAAUUCUUGCUUCAGGCAACGAAUCGCGUGAAAUCGUAGCAUUUAAUUUUAUGAAACUAUUAAAAAUGACUCCGUUUGUAUAUUUUUCGAAAUGUAAUGUUUAAAUGAAGACAAAUGCAGAUACAUCCAGGGUAACGCGAAUUUCGCUUCAACGCGAUCUGUUUUACAGAGACCAAAUCGAUUAUAUACAACCGGGAAAUUUAAAUGCUAAAAUGAACGGUAAGAAGUAAAUGGAAAGUUGUCCAUGAAGUUCCGAGGAUGGCCAGAAGCAUGGUAUUUUAAAACUCGGCAUAACGGAGGUAAGUGGUCGGUCAGCUUCACGCUUAGGCCGCUUUACCAGAGGGGGAGAGCUCCAGGUCCCCACUGGGCAUGAGGCUCCAGAGUUGCUCUGGAUGCUGCGAAGAGAAUGAUCUCUUGCCCCCUGUAGGGAAUCGAACUCAGCCCAUAGCUCAGUCACUAUAGUGACUCAGCUAUCCAGGUUCCUGAAAUGAAUGAUACAAUUAAAGUUAUUUGUGAAUUUUGUAUUUUGCAAUGAAACCAAAGGAGUAACAAAUAUUUUCAAGUUAUGUCUGUACUUUUGGGGGGCACAAGUAUUUCAUAAGUUGGGGACAUAUCUGAGAGUGUCAUAUCCUAGAAAAUUCACAGUAUGGCUCUCACCACAACAUGAAUAUGAUCCUUCACUGAAUACAUGUCCAGAAUGUGUCUACUGCAGAGGGCACCACGAGUGUCUCAUUAGCAACAUUGUGAUGUAAACACAUGGCAUCUGAAAGGCCCUGGAGGAUUUCCCCGAUGUAUUUGCUGCAAAGGAGAUGUUGGAAAAGGCGCAAUUUACUCAUACAUAUGAAUUAAAGAAGCUACUGCAGUAACCCCUUAAAGCACAGUGGUAACUAUCUAUACCACAUAUUUUAAUAUUAAUAAAAACAAAAAAACUGCAUGUUCCCAUGCCGUGUAUUUAUUUAUGUGUGUUCCGCAAGAUUCUCACAAUGAGUACCCAUUCUUUCCCUAAAUUUUCUGUGAGGUAUAAAUCGAAUUUUUUAAACUUUAUUUGGAUGAACUUCAGGCAUCAAACUCUCGAGAAGUGAUUAUUUUUUUGUACACACUUCCCAAAUCCCUAAGUAGUUUUUAAUGUUAAAAAGAUACAACUUAUGUCAUAUGAAUUUUGUGUAACAUCAUUUUGAGCAAUAUAUUGUUAUUUUAAUGUAUAAAACAUGCUAAAUUACAGGACGUGGCAACUAAGUGUAAAACCUACCAAAUUUCAUGGUGUGAGCCUCAAAACUUGCCAUGAAAUUAGGUGUUUUAUGGAGUUCAAUGUAACUGAUGCUUCCAUUAUGAAACCAUUAAGAUUUAACAUAAUUACGUGUACUUAACUCUUUUUAGCAGUUCCAUAUUGGAGACAUCACUGUUAAAAUGAACUGAAGAACAUAUAUGUAAUUUUGUGGUAAACUGUAGUGUUUUGUAUCAUGAAAUAAGAAAGGUCUACCUAACUUACGGUAACUCGUCCAUAAAUGUAUAGGAGUAGACCAAAGAUCCAAGAUUAUGCAAAGGAGAGUUCAAAAUAUUUCAAAACUAGUGUGUACACUUUUGUACAUCCAACGUUUAUACUACAAAGCUGCAUUUCAGUUGAUAAAAAUUGUAGAUUUUAGAUAGCAACAAAUGUACUAGGUACUCAUGAACUUUAAGAGUGAUGAUUUUUGUAAUGGAAUUCGGUUGAAAAUGAAAAUGGGUAUUGUUUAAAUGGCUUCUUAAUGAUUUCAUUUAUUUUAAAUGUCAGUAUUUUUUAUAUUUCUGUGGAAACUCCUCCAGAAUAAAUGUGUAUGUCUCCAUUUUCUUGUUCAUUUUGUGGAAGAAUUCCAAUGUCAUAAUAAUUUCAUCAUAAGCUUCACACACUGCAUUUCAUUAGCUGUUUCUGCGUAGUAAUUCGUACUGCAUGAUAUGAACAAGAAUCAAAUAUGCAUGUUAUACUGCAAAAAAUAUUAACAUUUUGUAAUUAAUAAUGAAGAAUGUGCCUAUUAUGGGUAUGUCCAUAUAUGCCAUAUUCAGUGAGUAGUACCAUCAAAUUCUGUAUCUCUCACCAGAAGUGAACACUGCUACCUGUGACUUGUCACCUUAUGACUGGUGAAAAGAAAAUAGUGCCAAAAGAUAACAAUACAGAUUUAACAUUUUAAAGCACAAUGUAUCACCUGAUUUUACAUUAAAAAAAAUACACACUUUCUCUAUAUGAUGCAUUUAUGGGUUUCAUACAAUUCUCACAACAAACAGAAUUUGUUUCCCUAAAUAUCAUUUUUAUCAGUAGAUCUUCGUAAUGGAAACUCAGUGUGUUAUCUUGUAGGUAGGAACUAAUUUUUAAACAUAUUUACAUAAACUGUAGGUUUCAAGGGCAUAGUAUUUUAAAACUAAAAUGUGAACAUUAUGAACAAGUCAACGAAUAUUCUCUUGUGGAUUAUGACACUGUAUAGUUCCAGUAAGUUGUUAUCAAUGUUUCACAGGAGAUUGCUGCCUCCAUGUUCAGCAUAAAGGUUACCUACCAGUAACUUGAUUCAUCCAUGAGUAUAAUAAUAUCAUCUUUUUUUAUGUUUCAUGGAAUUUGGGUGGAGGAGCUCACUUUUUCCAUCCUGAGUUAUUUAUGUAUGUAUGUCUGCAGCCCUGCAGGUUUAAGGCAAAACAAAAAAUUCAGAAACAAGAUAUGUACUUGAAGAUGAAAAUAAAACAAAAUGAAGAUUA